UGAUAGCUGUGAAGCGUGAGGUUGCCGGCAGUCAGAAAUGGCAGUCGGGUUUUCCGUGGAGCGAAUGUCAAGUUAGGAAACUGACGACAA
rnacentral:ncRNA from 1 species